UUGAAUACUCCAAUACAUUUGUAAUGAAAGUGUGUGUGUGCACAUUUUCCUAAUCACUUGUUCGUCCCCUCUCUAUCUCUAGCUGUUAACAUCAAAGAUGGUUUCUUUUCAUCCCAACAAGAACUGGUGAUGCAUCCAUGAACAUGGACAUAGCUUCAUAAUUUGGAUGGAUUGUUUGGUAGGGUUCAUUCACAGUAGCGUGGCACUCAAAAGGGCCAAAACCAAAAAAGUAAGAUGCCAAGAAGAAACCUUUUACGUCUAGAGGUCACUUCAAAUACUGCGAGGGAUAAGCAGGGGAAGUCUGUUUGUUGUGGUGUCCAUUUGUCGAACCAAUCUUUAAGUUUCUCACUUAAUGGAAUCCACUCAGAAAGAUUACGUCCUAGUAGUCGAUCCUCAUACCACAACAUUGGAAGUCUUUUCUGGUCUCUUCGAGGCAUCUGUGCAAGAUAAUUCCACUAGCAGAGUUUUCAGCUCUUCAAAGAGGAUUGACAUGGAAACUGGAGUUGCAAAUCAAACAAGGGAUCCAUCCUGCUAUGGUCAUGGAUUAGAUAAUUCAAAAAGCAACGAACUUGCGGCAUUUGCAGCAUCAUGUGCAUGGAAUAUCCUCACUCCGUUUGCAGCAUCAUGUGCAUGGAAUAUCCUCACUCCGUCCUUCAAACAGGCUAGUGUUACCUAUUUGAAUGUGCAUAUCCUCAGAGCAUUUGCAUGAAAGGCAGGUUAUUAUUGUUUAAACAAGUGACUUUACCCAGUUCCUUUCGGUAAGCUUAACCUGCUGACUUUAUUGCU